rnacentral:rRNA from 1 species
GACGAACGCUGGCGGCGUGCUUAACACAUGCAAGUCGAACGGAAAGGCCCUGCUUUUGUGGGGUGCUCGAGUGGCGAACGGGUGAGUAACACGUGAGUAACCUGCCCUUGACUUUGGGAUAACUUCAGGAAACUGGGGCUAAUACCGGAUAGGAGCUCCUGCUGCAUGGGGGGGGUUGGAAAGUUUCGGCGGUUGGGGAUGGACUCGCGGCUUAUCAGCUUGUUGGUGGGGUAGUGGCUUACCAAGGCUUUGACGGGUAGCCGGCCUGAGAGGGUGACCGGCCACAUUGGGACUGCGAUACGGCCCAGACUCCUACGGGAGGCAGCAGUGGGGAAUAUUGCACAAUGGGCGGAAGCCUGAUGCAGCAGCGCCGCGUGCGGGAUGACGGCCUUCGGGUUGUAAACCGCUUUCGCCUGUGACGAAGCGUGAGUGACGGUAAUGGGUAAAGAAGCACCGGCUAACUACGUG